GUUCCCUGCCCCCGAUCCUCUCUCAUCCCCAUCUUUUCCUUUCUUCUUCAUUCCGCCGACGCCACCAGCCCCAACUCAGAUCCCGGUCAACUCCCUCCCUCCCCACGGGCCACGGCUACCGUCCGGCUCGCCGCUCCUCUCUCACUUCCACCGCCGCUGCACCAUUCCCCUGCAUCCAGCGUCGCUGCUUUGCCCGUUGGUCCCCCUAUCCCCCAGAUCAAGCGCACAGCAACAGCAGGGAGAGGACGGCAGUGGGGGAGUGGCGCGAGAGCAAGACGAGGUGGACCGCCGCCAUCUCCGCCCCUUCGCAAAUCCCCACGAGACAUCUCCCUCUCUUCUACUUGCCUCCAGCGUCUCAUGUGAACUCCUCAGGCCCGCCACGGCUGUGCCGCAAUCCACAGCGCGUAAAGGUCAAGGACUGGCGGUCGGCGCCUCCUCGUCUUGGCAGCCGUCUUCGCCGUGAUGGAUGCCUCUGGGUCAGCCAAGGCCCUCUAGUCUGCACUGCAGCACCAACAGAUGUGUUCCCUCCUCAUCUGCAGCCUCCCCUAUGUAUCUGUGACCUGACCGUGAUUUUGAUUUUGUCCCCCCAUGUGCCUUGCUGAAUCUGUACCUUCCAUGAAAAUUAAGUAUUUCACGAUGCAUGUGCUCACCAGGAGGAAGGAGAAGAAGAGGGGUGACAACAUGGCACUCAUAUUCGCUGGCCUUCAAGCUUUUGUGGACGACACUACUACGUUGCUUGCUGAUUGCGUAUCGGUGAAUGUUCUCUUGAUUUGCGAAAGCUAGGCCCCGUUGUUGUCCAUGACAAGCCAUUUUACUGUGAAAUCGUCAUAAUGUCAAGCAGUCGAUCAGCGUCGGUUUCAAAGAAGUGAUGUUCCUGUCUUGUUGGGUCAAGACAAGCUGGUAGGCAGCAAUGGUCGGCCGGUCAAUGACUCGGGGAGGUGAAUGAGGAGCUAGAUCAGCAACCUCGGCAACAUACUGUGGUGGAUGAAGAAGAUUUUCGUGGCAACAAAGAGUUCAAAGAAAAUGCGUUUCGUUUGCCUCCACAAAAAUGCUCAUAUGCAAACUUGUAAAUUUGGCUCCAUGAUGUCUGAUAAAGUGGUGCUGCAAUUUUCAGUUUUAAAGGCUAAAUAUUUGAUGGUUUUAGAAGACGUUGUGCUUAUUAUAAUGUUGUCGUAUACAUGUGUGUGUGCCUAUACGAUGUAUGAGUCGUCUAUUUUUCUUGCUGGAAAAAAUUAACUAGUUUUAAAAA